rnacentral:rRNA from 1 species
UACGUAGGGUGCAAGCGUUGUCCGGAAUUAUUGGGCGUAAAGAGCUCGUAGGCGGUCUGUCGCGCCUGCUGUGAAAACUCAGGGCUUAACCCUGAGCUUGCAGUGGGUACGGGCAGACUAGAGUGCGGUAGGGGAGACUGGAAUUCCUGGUGUAGCGGUGAAAUGCGCAGAUAUCAGGAGGAACACCGGUGGCGAAGGCGGGUCUCUGGGCCGUAACCGACGCUGAGGAGCGAAAGCAUGGGGAGCGAACAGG